GUGUGAGAGGAGAUUGCACAAUAACCCUGGGCUGUGUUUGGCCCCUGUUUGGCUUUAUGAGGUUCAUUAGCGUGAAUGUCUAGUCUUGUGCAUGCGUUUCACUCCCAGUCCUGUGAGUGCUCACCGCUGAGGUCCUCUUCAACAUCCCUUUCCUCAACAGGCUUAAUGAGCUGCGGAAAAGAAGAGAGAGACAGUGUUGCAAACAGGAUAG
rnacentral:lncRNA from 1 species